rnacentral:rRNA from 1 species
GAUGAACGCUGGCGGCGUGCCUAAUACAUGCAAGUCGAGCGAACAGACGAGGAGCUUGCUCCUCUGACGUUAGCGGCGUACGGGUGAGUAACACGUGGAUAACCUACCUAUAAGACUGGGAUAACUUCGGGAAACCGGAGCUAAUACCGGAUAAUAUAUUGAACCGCAUGGUUCAAUAGUGAAAGACGGUUUUGCUGUCACUUAUAGAUGGAUCCGCGCCGCAUUAGCUAGUUGGUAAGGUAGCGGCUUACCAAGGCAACGAUGCGUAGCCGACCUGAGAGGGUGAUCGGCCACACUGGAACUGAGACACGGUCCAGACUCCUACGGGAGGCAGCAGUAGGGAAUCUUCCGCAAUGGGCGAAAGCCUGACGGAGCAACGCCGCGUGAGUGAUGAAGGUCUUCGGAUCGUAAAACUCUGUUAUUAGGGAAGAACAAAUGUGUAAGUAACUAUGCACGUCUUGACGGUACCUAAUCAGAAAGCCACGGCUAACUACGUG